rnacentral:rRNA from 1 species
UACGAAGGGGGGCUAGCGUUGCUCGGAAUCACUGGGCGUAAAGGGCUCGUAGGCGGCCAACUAAGUCAGACGUGAAAUCCCUCGGCUUAACCGGGGAACUGCGUCUGAUACUGGAUGGCUUGAAUCCGGGAGAGGAAUGCGGAAUUCCAGGUGUAGCGGUGAAAUGCGUAGAUAUUGGGAGGAACACCAGUGGCGAAGGCGGGCUCACUGGACCGGAACUGACGCUGAGGCGCGAAAGCGUGGGGAGCAAACAGG